GUAGAAUGGAAGAGUUAGGUGUGGUU
rnacentral:sRNA from 1 species